AGGGUGUGCCGUGCAGCUGGUUCGCCCCGUCCGCCAGGCGGGAUGCGUCGCAAGAGGGAACCCGGUGGGAAUCCGGGACUGCCCCGCAGCGGUGAGCGGGAACGACCGCCGUCAUACGCACUGGGCCCCGGACGGGGCCUGGGAAGCGACGGCCAGUAGGUGUCCCCCUCGUACGGAUCCGGUCGGAUCGGUACGGCGAGGACGGGCCCGCGAGUCCGAAGACCUGCCAACUGCCCGCGCGUGAA
rnacentral:ncRNA from 2 species